rnacentral:rRNA from 1 species
GACGAACGCUGGCGGCGUGCCUAACACAUGCAAGUCGAACGGAGCAAAGCCCUUCGGGACUUUACUUAGUGGCGAACGGGUGAGUAACGCGUGAGGAACCUGCCUUCCAGUGGGGGACAACAGUUGGAAACGACUGCUAAUACCGCAUGAUGCUUUUGAGGGACAUCCCUUAAAAGUCAAAGCUUUAUGUGCUGGAAGAUGGCCUCGCGUCUGAUUAGCUAGUUGGUGGGGUAACGGCUCACCAAGGCGACGAUCAGUAGCCGGUCUGAGAGGAUGAACGGCCACAUUGGGACUGAGAUACGGCCCAGACUCCUACGGGAGGCAGCAGUGGGGAAUAUUGCACAAUGGGCGAAAGCCUGAUGCAGCGACGCCGCGUGAGUGAAGAAGUAUUUCGGUAUGUAAAGCUCUAUCAGCAGGGAAGACAGUGACGGUACCUGACUAAGAAGCUCCGGCUAAAUACGUG